rnacentral:rRNA from 1 species
AACGAACGCUGGCGGUGUGCUUAACACAUGCAAGUCGAACGGUAAGGCCCUUUCGGGUGUACACGAGUGGCGAACGGGUGAGUAACACGUGGGUAAGCUGCCCUCCUCGCGGGGAUAACAGGCGGAAACGGUGGCUAUUACGGAUAAGGAGCUUGCAAGACAGCUGGUGGGUUGGAGAGAUUUUUUGUGGGUGGGGAUGGAGUCGCGGCCUAUCAGCUGGUGGGUGAGGUAGUGGCUAAGCAAGGCUUCGACGGGUAGCCGGCAUGCGAGGACGACCGGCCACACUGGACCUGAGCUACGGCCCACAGUCCUACGUGAGGCAGCAGUGGGGAAUAUUGCACCAUGGACGGCCGUCUGAUGCAGGAACGCCGCGUGCUGGAUGACGGCCUUCGUGUUGUACAAAGCUUUCAAUUGUGAUGCAGGAUUUUUGUGACGGUAGCAGUAGAAGAAGCACCGGCUAACUACGUG